UUUGGGUUGUAAGCUCUUUCGUCGGGGAAGAAAAUGACUGUACCCGAAUAAGAAGGUCCGGCUAACUUCGUGCCAGCAGCCGCGGUAAUACGAAGGGACCUAGCGUAGUUCGGAAUUACUGGGCUUAAAGAGUUCGUAGGUUGUUGAAAAAGUUGGUGGUGAAAUCCCAGAGCUUAACUCUGGAACUGCCAUCAAAACUUUUCAGCUAGAGUUUGAUAGAGGAAAGCAGAAUUUCUAGUGUAGAGGUGAAAUUCGUAGAUAUUAGAAAGAAUACCAAUUGCGAAGGCAGCUUUCUGGAUCAUUACUGACACUGAGGAACGAAAGCAUGGGUAGCGAAGAGGAUUAGAUACCCUCGUAGUCCAUGCCGUAAACGAUGUGUGUUAGACGUUGGAAAUUUAUUUUCAGUGUCGCAGCGAAAGCGAUAAACACACCGCCUGGGGAGUACGACCGCAAGGUUAAAACUCAAAUGAAUUGACGGGGACCCGCACAAGUAGUGGAGCAUGUGGUUUAAUUCGAAGAUACGCGCAGAACCUUACCAACACUUGACAUGUUCGUCGCGACUCUAAGAGAUUAGAGUUUUCGGUUCGGCCGGACGAAACACAGGUGCUGCAUGGCUGUCGUCAGCUCGUGUCGUGAGAUGUUGGGUUAAGUCCCGCAACGAGCGCAACCCUCACUUUUAGUUGCCAUCAUUUAGUUGGGCACUCUGAAAGAACUGCCAGUGAUAAGCUGGAGGAAGGUGGGGAUGACGUCAAGUCCUCAUGGCCCUUACGUGUUGGGCUACACACGUGCUACAAUGGUAUCUACAACAGGAAGCAAGACGGCGACGUUAAGCAAAUCCUUAAAAGAUACCUCAGUUCGGAUUGCACUCUGCAACUCGAGUGC
rnacentral:rRNA from 1 species